AUACGGAAGGUCCGGGCGUUAUCCGGAUUUAUUGGGUUUAAAGGGAGCGCAGGCGGCCUUUUAAGCGUGACGUGAAAUGUAGGCGCUCAACGUCUGAAUUGCGUCGCGAACUGUUAGGCUUGAGUAGACGGAAUGUCGGCGGAAUUCGUGGUGUAGCGGUGAAAUGCUUAGAUAUCACGAAGAACUCCGAUUGCGAAGGCAGCUGACAGCAGUUUUACUGACGCUCAUGCUCGAAAGUGCGGGUAUCGAACAGGAUUAGAUACCCUGGUAGUCCGCACGGUAAACGAUGGAUGCCCGCUGUUUGCUUUUUUGGUAAGCGGCCAAGCGAAAGCAUUAAGCAUCCCACCUGGGGAGUACGCCGGCAACGGUGAAACUCAAAUGAAUUGACGGGG
rnacentral:rRNA from 1 species